rnacentral:misc_RNA from 1 species
GUCCAGGUCAGCUCCUGGUCCAUGAACCCCUAGACGAUAAGAGCCAAAGGUGACUAUGAUAGCAUUUGCAUCCUCAACCAUUUGAUCUAUGUAGCCUCUCUGGCGAGUCAAUUGUUUCACCCAUUGUUUUACAAUCUGGUCAAGUCGCCGCAGUACUUCUUCUCUCCUUGCAGUCUCUUCCUCACUCUCAUACAAUUCUGAUUCCCUCAAAAACUUUUCCAGUUCUGCAUUUCUUUGAAGAUCUGUCUCAGUUGGUCCAGCAAGAGAUAAUGGCUUUGUGACACCAUAUUUCUUUGGUGGUGGUGCAACAGACUCACUUAAGC